UACGUAGGUGGCGAGCGUUGUCCGGAAUUACUGGGCGUAAAGGGUGCGUAGGCGGAUAAUUAAGUCAGAUGUGAAAUUCCCGGGCUUAACCUGGGAACUGCAUUUGAAACUGGUUGUCUAGAGUGCAGGAGAGGAAAGCGGAAUUCCUAGUGUAGCGGUGAAAUGCGUAGAUAUUAGGAAGAACACCAGUGGCGAAGGCGGCUUUCUGGACUGUAACUGACGCUGAGGCACGAAAGCGUGGGGAG
rnacentral:rRNA from 1 species